AAUAUAUCGGAACGUACCCUGGAGUGGGGGAUAACGUAGCGAAAGUUACGCUAAUACCGCAUACGAUCUAAGGAUGAAAGUGGGGGAUUCGCAAGAACCUCAUGCUCCUGGAGCGGCCGAUAUCUGAUUAGCUAGUUGGUGGGGUAAAGGCCUACCAAGGCAUCGAUCAGUAGCUGGUCUGAGAGGACGACCAGCCACACUGGAACUGAGACACGGUCCAGACUCCUACGGGAGGCAGCAGUGGGGAAUUUUGGACAAUGGGCGCAAGCCUGAUCCAGCAAUGCCGCGUGAGUGAAGAAGGCCUUCGGGUUGUAAAGCUCUUUUGUCAGGGAAGAAACGGUGAAGGCUAAUAUCCUUUGCUAAUGACGGUACCUGAAGAAUAAGCACCGGCUAACUACGUGCCAGCAGCCGCGGUAAUACGUAGGGUGCAAGCGUUAAUCGGAAUUACUGGGCGUAAAGCGUGCGCAGGCGGUUUUGUAAGUCUGUCGUGAAAUCCCCGGGCUCA
rnacentral:rRNA from 1 species